GUCCUUUGCAUAAGGAUGGGUGCUCUUUGGCAAAUCCGUCGAGUAAAUUUGUUUUUCUAAUAUUUGUCUUAUUGAAAGACAAACGUUCGUUCCGUCGAUCUAGAUGUAUUUCUGUUAUUUGCCCACUAGAUGACGCCAAUUCCCCAACGAAAAAUCCGGCAUAAUCGAAGAAGAAGUCGAGAUCAAAGGUGUCCGUCAACUUGAAUAAAGGUGAGGUGAAGAAGACAGCCCGAAGGUCGUCAUUUCGGGUCACUUGGAGAACUUCGCCGGUGAGGUUCAGAAACCUGCCAACUACCGGUGGAACUCUUCGGAAGUCCAGGAUCCUAACAGUUCUGUACCUGUCCAGGUGAAACGCAGCAAUCUCUGCAUUGUGUCUCUGGACAUCGACAAAGAAAAAGACGUCUUCUGGAGUCUCCUCGUCC